rnacentral:rRNA from 1 species
UCGUGUCGUGAGAUGUUGGGUUAAGUCCCGCAACGAGCGCAACCCUUGCCAUUAGUUGCUACGAAAGGGCACUCUAAGUGGGACUGCCGGUGACAAACCGGAGGAAGUGGGGAUGACGUCAAGUCCUCAUGGCCCUUAUAGGUGGGCUACACACGUCAUACAAUGGCUGGUACAAAGGGUUGCCAACCCGCGAGGGGGAGCCAAUCCCAUAAAGCCAGCCGUAGUCCGGAUCGUAGUCUGCAACUCGACUACGUGAAGUCGGAAUCGCUAGUAAUCGUGGAUCAGAAUGUCACGGUGAAUACGUUCCCGGGUCUU